ACUAACUGGUGCAAUUUAAGUAUAACUUAUUAUAAGUGAGAACUAAAUCAUUAGUAAAAUAAGUAGUAAUUCGUACUUUUUGUAUAACGGUUCUUCCAUCCCGAAACGGUAAGAUCUACACCAAAAAUACGUCUUAUGUGGCAAAAUAAGAGUUGAAUUGGGCUGUAGAGGUGAAAUUCCUAACAAUUAUCGUAAUAUCUGGAUCAACUUUAAAGGCAUAUAGUGUCAAGAAGAUAAAUAAUAAGUGAUUAGAUUUAUUAUAGGGAAUGGCAUAAACUAUUUUAAUCGCUAGGACUAACCUCCACCUUAAAAUUACCUUUACAUAAUUUAAAAUAAUUAGCCUUAACUUCUGGAGUUGGGGGCAACUUGGUCAGCUUAUGAAGAAAUUAGUAUAUUUAAAAAUGGAGUUUAAGGAACUCGGCAAAUCACUAUUUCGACUGUUUAUCAAAAACAUAUCCCUUAGAAAAAAAUUAAGGGUGGUGCCUGCCCAGUGUAAGGGAAUAAAUGGCCGCGGUACUUUGACCGUGCUAAGGUAGCAUAAUCACUUGGCUCUUAACUGGGGUCUGGAAUGAAUGGCAUUACGGAAUUAAGCUGUCUCUAAUUUCAUAAGUCAAACUUACUAAAUAGGUGAAAAGGCCUAUAGAUGCUAAUAGACGAGAAGACCCUUAGAGUUUAAGUUAAUAUUUUGUUGGGGCGACAUUGGAUCAGAUAAACAUCCAUGGACUAUAAGACGAUUUAAAUCUUACUAGACAAACUACCUAAGGGAUAACCAGCAUAAUUCUUUAGAGUUUGUGACCUCGAUGUUGGACUGGGAAGCACUAAGGCUAGCUGCUUUAGUUGGGGAUUCUGUUCGAAUUGUUACUCCCACAUGAUCUGAGUUCAGACCGGGCGCAAGCCAGGUCAGUGUUCUAUAAUCUGAAUUCGUCGACAAGCUUCUCGAGCCUAGGCUAGCUCUAGACCACACGUGUGGGGGCCCGAGCUGCGGCCGCUGUUUCAUAAAUCACAAGGCGCCGUCCCCAAAAAAACCAAACUCCCAACCACCUAGUUGUGAUCUGAGUUCAGACCGGCGCAAGCCAGGUCAGUUUCUAUCUUUUGUUUUGACUUAUUCUAGUACGAAAGGACCGUAUGAGUUUUU
rnacentral:rRNA from 1 species